rnacentral:lncRNA from 1 species
AGAAAUUCUUUGGAGCUCAGUGGCCCAACAAGAUUAUAAUCCGAAAAAAAAGAAACGAAAACCCAAAAAUUGAAAUUGCAAUUGAAUCGAAGGGAGAAGAUUGAUCCAGCCAUGGAAGAAUCAGCGUCGGAAAAUGAAAAGCGUUACUUUGUUUGUGAGAUUCAAUGUGUGUUUCGGGUUUUGAUUUCAGUGUAUUUGAUUGCGGGUUGUUUCUUCAUGCUUCUGUCGAAUCGAAGAUAAAUUAGACUGAUUCAACUUUUACAAUGCAACAUCUUUAGGCUAUGUCUGUGUGUAGUUGAUUUCAAUGGCGGCCAAAAGCUUUCUUCUAGCGGCUUCUUCUCUCACAGAAUUCUUGAGUUUUGGUCAGAAUCUCCAUUGGUUUAGGUACAAUGAGAUACUUCACUCUUCUUAAAGCAAUUUCACAUACAUGUCAUGACUCUUGUUGGAAUAUAAAAAGGAUAAAUGGGAUAAUUUUCAUCACAAAAAGCUUACAAAUGUCACAUCUUUAUGCAGAAAAGAAGAGUUCAUUGUUCUGAGCAGAAGAAAGUAGAAAGAAAUACAAAAGCAGAACGAAUUUAGAUACCGGGGAAUGUUGUUCUUCCUCACUCUCACUUGCCUAUGAUGAGUUUGGCUCUGGCAUCUCCUUUGUUGAUUUGGAACUGAUUUGUUAGUCCAAAGUGAGCCAUUAGAAGCCACACAAAGUUUAUAAGCUCACCGCCUCUGCUGAGUUGCUCCACGUGAGCCGUAGAGUCGCAAUGACAAGCUGCAUAACAGAGAAGCUCCACCCACACUUUACUCAGUAUCUCCCAUUUAUCUUUGUUGUGUGUCUUCUCCAUCCUUGUAAGGUCUUUGGCUAGCCUGCUCGCAUCAAACAACACUGACUUGCUUCGAUCUCCCUUGACGUCCACUGGUUCAAUUUCACUAUUGACAUCCAGUAUAUACUCUGUGGCUAAAUUCACGCCCACAUUAUAGAUUCGUUUCCUCUCGAAAAACUUGUCAGUUUCCGCCAAUGUGUCUCUGAAUCUGAUCUUCCCAAUUCCAGCAACCUCGGACAUCAGACUGGGUUGCAAGAUCAGGAGAUACAUCAUGUAGUCUGAGAUGAUUUUGCUUGCAUUGUUCAUCAUAACCCUCUGGGAUAGUCUCUUUCUUAUGUUCUUGGUAGCAGAACUCGGUUGCGAUGUGCCACAUCAAAAGACUCUGAUCAUAAUCGACCUUUGUGACAUAACGUACCAGUUUUUCACGUUCUGCAUCCUCUGGUAGGUUGUCCCUUAAAGCCCAUUCUCCCCUAGCCAAAGAUAUCCUUUUGGCAUUUUCAGGACUGUCUCCAUACUUUGAUUUGUUUUUCAGCUCUUCGAAGAUGAACUUCCACAAUUCUUUUGUCAUGGGCUCUCCGUGUACAAAUAACGUCUUCUCGACCAGAUCAAGCGCAUCCGGGAUGCCUAAGAACUCAAUGAGAACAUUCCACAAAUAUUUGAUGAAAUUAGGGAUGUGGAAUAGGAACAAUAUAUAGAGAGGGUAAAUAGUACAACGAGCCCAAGGGUGGUUUCUUGAUAACGUAUUGACUAUGCUGCGGAUCCAUCUGUGCACAUUAUUGAUCACCUCGACAAUACAUCCAAAAACUUUCUGGAUUAUGAGAUUGAUUAUUUUGAACGGGAAAGCUAUGAUGAUCCAUAAGGAGCGGAACUCAUCUCCGGCAUCGUGGAUCCUCUUUUGUCUUUUUUUUGUGGCAUAUGCUAGAAAGUUGAAUACGUUGAUGCUUCCACACCACCUCCGGAAGAAGAAUGGCGUCGUGAGCAUGUGAUGCACGUGUACCAUUGAACACUUAUCAUCACCUUCCUUGAUGCACGGUUUCUCACCUUCUUUUGUACACUUAUGCUCACCUUUAUUGUGGCACUCUUGCAUCUUCCAACGCAGCUUUCUGAAUUCAAGUAAACAGUUGAAAAAUCUAUCUUUCCAUGAUAGAGGCUCAUCCGGAUCGUCCUUCAAGCUACUAAGUGCAGCACAUGUCCAGUCUGAGAACAGAAACAAAAGGAUGGAUAUGAAAUCCAAAACUAGGCCAACUGCAAACAGAAUAUAGGUAAUCACGACAUCUGCUCCAUGAAAGUCUCUGCCUUUGUUAGAUAUCUUAUGAAAGAUGAUGAAUGCAGCCACAAGGGAACCCGAAGCAACAACUCGUGAGACAGUUCCCAAAACAGUAUGAAGAACCGCGUUCUUGGUGAAUAGAGCAUCGUAGAGAAAGCCGAGUUCAAUCUCAAUGAUUCUUAAAGCUUCCUCUGGAUCUUCCAAGUUCUGAAAGAUCUCUAUGCUCUGGUCACGCUCCCUGAAGCUGAAGAUAAGGUUGACUACAAGGCCCUUGAAUGUGUUGAAGAAUUUGUAAGCGUACUGAGCAAUUUCAAGAUGAGUCAACUCUUUUCUUUUUGUCUCCGAGGCCAGGGAUGGAUGCUCUAACUUCUUAGGCCUAUGUUCCUUGUCAGGCUCAUCAAUCAGAAUGAUCUUGGUGGGUAAUUUUGCUUCUUUCUUGGCCUUGUACUCCUCCAUGAGCUUCGCAUAAUUUGGUCCUGGAUCUGGUCCUUGAAUCAUAGAAUCCCUAAACUUGUCCAAACUUGCACUAUACAAAGCCGUUGUCCUUUCCAGAUACUUUAUAGUCCCAGAAAUGAACACUAAGAGUAUUGUUACCCAAAGGCUAUUGGGCAGAGACUGGAGAACCACAUAGACACCAGCAAUUGCCUGAAAGACAAGCCCAAAAACAUUUCGGAGCCAAAGAGCGUUAUCUUCAAGCGCGAAAGCUGUUAUAGUGUCUGGUCCACCAAGAUGUAAGAGCAAGAAUGGUGCCCAUAAAGCCAUGAGCUUUUUGUCCUGUGGAGGGUCAUCAGGUUUGAGAUCUUUACCUUGGUUCUUAGAGAUGAGACCAACAGCGAAAUUAGCAGACCAAUCUGCUAAGAGAUAAGAGGACCAAAUGACGAUAAUCAAGUGCCUUCUUGGUGUUCGUUUCCUUAAUGGAGAGAAGCAAAUGAGAAAGGCUUGAAGGGUAAGACUUAGAAAGAUUGUUCCUCUAAUGUUCCAUCUGUCCCACGCAUCUUUGAUAUGUUUUGGUAUCACGUCCACCAUUUUUGCUCUCACUUGAGGAAAAGAGAUAAAGCCUCUCUCUCUGUCUCUCGCUCUUUGUUAUUCAGAUCAUGAGAUGUUCUUUUCUUUCUCAGAUUUACUUGAGAACUUUGGGGUUUGGGCAAUGUUUUUGGGAAGCCAUUGAUGUUGUUGUUGUUUUUCUUUUCUUUUACCUGGGAGUGAGAAAGACGACUCAGCAACUUGUCUUUUCUUUUCUUUGUUUUCGGAGCGACUUAUGUUAUUUUAAAGAGUGUCCCGGAUUAGUCUUUCAGUCGAGUCAUUAUUUAGUAAAUCAAGAAAACAAAAUUUCCCCCUAGCUCGUUUUCUUGUCACUAAAUAAACAAUUUGAUUUUGAGGUUCAUUAUAUAUUUUAGAUGAAUUUGGUGUUUUUGGUACUCUUUCAUUAAUGGUGGAUUCAAAGACAUUGAGAGAGCUUAUAUAUAUUCUUAUUCGAUUUCUUCUAUUGGUUUACUGAUUUUGAAUGAUCUUUUGAAUCAGAGGAAUCAGUCAAGCUCACAUAAAAUGAAUGUAUCAGUGACAGAAGAAAGACAUGAGUAAUACAAUGCAGAUGAGUAUUCAAGUAUAGAUGAUUGCUGGCAAUGAUAUGAAAGCAACAAACAGUUCAAGAUGAAAUAAUAAUAAAUAAAUAAACACAGUAGAGGAAAAUGUUGGAAACUAAUGUUUUUUUUUUUUUUGGUUUAGUGUGGGAAACUAAUGUUGUUUCUACUUUCGUUGCUUAUUCGAUGAUGAUCACUUGCAAUAAUGAGUUUGGCUCUGGGAUCUCCUUGGUUGAUCUGGAAUUGAUCUGCUAGUCUCAUAUGGACCAUCAAUAGCCAAACAAACCUGAUGAGUUAUCCUCCUUUGCUUAGCUGAGCUGCGUGUUCUAUAGUGGCUGGGAACUAUGCAGAUUUGGUUUUAAAUGUUCAUGACUUACUGUUUUUUCAUUUUCCACUAAGAAAAUGUUGGUAGUAGUGGAAAGUCUUCUUUGAAAAUGUAACUAGAUGAUCCGACAUUAGAUAUGAAGACUUCUUAGAGUUUGGAUAUUUUGAAAUAUUGGAAAGAAAUACUCAACGCAAUGGAGAAUUGGUUUCCAUUGCUUGCGACCUUCUUCGUAUUUCAAUCACAAUAGUAGCUUCUGAAUUCUCUUUAAGUAUUGGAUCUUCAGUUUUGAACAAGUAUAAAAGCCGUCUUCUAAUAUGGUGCCGCAUUUGGAUAAAAUGUUUUGAAGCAUAUGAAAAUGGUAAGUAAAUAGUUUUCAUAAUUUUUACUCUUACAAAAUCAUAAAUCAUGUAUUGAUUAUGUUACUUUUAUGUGAUAUAUAUGUAGAGGCGGACGAAGAAUUUGCUAAAGAUUGGACGUUACCUACUUUCCAAUCAAUGUUGACGAUGAAAUUUGAUAUUGUUAUAGAAGGAUCUUGAGUUUGAGAUUCAUGUUUUUAGCUUUCAAUUUCAGUUUAAUACUUUAGUUUAAUGUUUCGGUUUAAAACACCAUUGUGGGAUACGGGCUUUGCCUUCCAUGCCCAAUUCGGCCCAAACACAAAUAGAACAAGUCAAGAAAGCUCCUAACAAGGAUGAACGGCCCAUCAGAACAACGGCCCAUCAGAAUGACUGCUCGGCCCAUCACAGCUCGGCCCAUCACGGCUUGGCCCAGCCCGAUAAAUUCAGAAGGGCAAAACGGAGAAAUCGCAAGAGAGACUAAGAGAACCCUAGAUCAGCUCCUUGCCUAUAAAUAAGAGGAGACACUACUAAGAAGAGGGGUCCAGAACCUAAGUCACCACUCAGAGAAUUUAAGAGAGAAUUGCUGCCUAGCUCUUUAUCUCUUACUUUCUGGUUUUCCGUUCUGUAUUUUCUGGUUUUCCGACCAUCAAUAUCUGUUUUCCGACCUGUACUUUCGGUUCUCCGUUCUGUACUUACGGUUUUCCGUUCUGUUAAUUACUAUCUUUCCGUUCGUCAUUAAUAAAGAAGUUACUCCGUUCUCCCUAAACCCCUUAAUCAUUAUUGUUACGACCUCGUUACAAACAACCAUAAAUUUAUACAUGAACUGUACUUCCAAACCAAAUAACACAAAUACAGUACUUUAUUUCUGAACAUACGUGAUACUUUCACAAAUACUACUUAAGUUAAAUGACCGCGUCCGGUCCGUUAAAACGUUGGGCUUUGUAAAGCAGAUAUGAGCUUCGAUUUGUAACGUGCGGUUGUUAGCAGGCCGGCCCAAUUCGGACCAGAAAAAAAGCGUCGUUUAAGUAGAACAGCUCAAGAAAAAUAAAAAAAAGAAAAAUUUAUAUGCAGCGAAACCCACUUAAAAUGUGGAUUGAAAUUGAAAUCGAAUCGAAGGGAGAGCGAUUGUUCCAACCCUAGAAUCAGUCUGAAAUUGAAGCUCUUUAAGUAUCGAUGAGGUUUGAUUUCAGUGGAUUUGAUUGUGUGUGGUUUCUUCAUUCUUCAGUCGUAUCGAGGAUCAAUUAGAGUGAUUUCAAUUUAGUCUAUGCGGCUUCUUCUCUCAUAUUUAGGCUAUGCGGCUUCUUCUCUCACAGUCAUCGUGUGUGCUAUUGGUUUCAAUGGCGGCCAAAAGAUUUCUUCCCUCGCAGAUUUCUUGAGUUUUGAUCAGAAUUCACAUUUACUUCAUUGUUUAAGGUACAUUGAGAUAGUUCACUUGUCUUUCGCAGGUUUUUGGAAUUGUGUAAUCUGGAAUCAGCUAGAAUGAUCUUCAAGGCAAUCUCAUACAUGUCAUGACUCUUGUUGGAAUAUAAAAAGGAUAAAUGGGAUAAUUUUCAUCACAAAAAGCUUACAAAUGUCACAUCUUUAUGCAGAAAAGAAGAGUUCAUUGUUUUGAGCAGAAGAAAGUAGAAAGAAAUACAAAAGCAGAACGAAUUUAGAUUACGGGGAAUGUUGUUCUUCCUCACUCUCACUUGCCUAUGAUGAGUUUGGCUCUGGCAUCUCCUUUGUUGAUCUGGAACUGAUCUGUUAGUCCGAAGUGAGCCAUUAGAAGCCACACGAAGUUUAUG